GGGGGUGCAGCUCAGCGGAAGAGCACUUGCCUGGCACGUGUGGGGCCCUGGGUUCUAUCCCCGGCACUGCCA
rnacentral:tRNA from 1 species